UACAGAGGGGGCAAGCGUUGUUCGGAAUUACUGGGCGUAAAGGGCGCGUAGGCGGCCUCUUAAGUCGAACGUGAAAUCCCCGGGCUUAACCCGGGAACUGCGUCCGAUACUGGGAGGCUUGAAUUCGGGAGAGGGAUGCGGAAUUCCAGGUGUAGCGGUGAAAUGCGUAGAUAUCUGGAGGAACACCGGUGGCGAAGGCGGCAUCCUGGACCGACAUUGACGCUGAUGCGCGAAAGCCAGGGGAGCAAACGGG
rnacentral:rRNA from 1 species